rnacentral:rRNA from 1 species
UUAAGCCAUGCAUGUCUAAGUAUAAACGAUUUAAUCGUGAAACCGCGAAUGGCUCAUUAUAACAGCUAUAAUUUACUUGAUCUUGACACAAUCCUACUUGGAUAACUGUGGUAAUUCUAGAGCUAAUACAUGCAUUAAAGCUCUGACCUCACGGGAAGAGUGCAUUUAUUAGAACAAAACCAAGCGGCUUCGGCUGUUUCUGGUUGACUCAUAGUAACUGAGCUGAUCGCAUGGUCUUGCACCGGCGACGUGUCUUUCAAGUAUCUGCCGUAUCAACUUUCGAUGGUAGUGUAUCUGACUACCAUGGUGAUCACGCGUAACGGAGAAUAAGGGUUCGGCUCCGGAGAGUUCGCCUGAGAAAUCGCGAACACAUCUAAGGAAGGCAGCAGGCGCGAAAAUUACCCACUCUCAGCACGAGGAGGUAGUGACGAAAAAUAACGAGACCGUUCUCUUAUGAGGCCGGUCAUCGGAAUGGGUACAAUUUAAACCCUU